rnacentral:sRNA from 1 species
UCAGAGAAUAUUUACGACCUUGUUGAG